UUUUUAACAUAAUUAUGUCCCAAGCAAUGUUUGGGACACAAUUAUGUUUAAU
rnacentral:miRNA from 1 species